CUACGGGGGGCAGCAGUGAGGAAUAUUGGGCAAUGGGCGAAAGCCUGACCCAGCCAUGCCGCGUGAAGGAUGACUGCCCUAUGGGUUGUAAACUUCUUUUGUAAGGGAAGAAUGAUUCCUACGUGUAGGAAUGUGACGGUACCUUAUGAAUAAGCACCGGCUAACUCCGUGCCAGCAGCCGCGGUAAUACGGAGGGUGCAAGCGUUAUCCGGAUUUAUUGGGUUUAAAGGGUGCGUAGGCGGAAUUUUAAGUCAGUGGUGAAAUCCUGCAGCUCAACUGUAGAACUGCCAUUGAUACUGAUCUUCUUGAAUUUAGUUGAGGUGGGCGGAACGUGUAAUGUAGCGGUGAAAUGCUUAGAUAUUACACAGAACACCGAUUGCGAAGGCAGCUCACUAAACUAACAUUGACGCUGAGGCACGAAAGCGUGGGUAGCGAACAGGAUUAGAUACCCCAGUAGUC
rnacentral:rRNA from 1 species